rnacentral:rRNA from 1 species
UACGUAGGGGGCAAGCGUUGUCCGGAUUUAUUGGGCGUAAAGAGCGUGUAGGCGGCCCGAUAAGUCCGCUGUGAAAGUCCAGGGCUCAACCCUGGGAUGCCGGUGGAUACUGUCGGGCUUGAGUACGGAAGAGGCGAGUGGAAUUCCUGGUGUAGCGGUGAAAUGCGCAGAUAUCAGGAGGAACACCAAUUGCGAAGGCAGCUCGCUGGGACGUUACUGACGCUGAGACGCGAAAGCUAGGGGAGCAAACGGG